rnacentral:rRNA from 1 species
CCUACGGGCGGCAGCAGUGGGGAAUAUUGCACAAUGGGGGAAACCCUGAUGCAGCGACGCCGCGUGAGUGAAGAAGUAAUUCGUUAUGUAAAGCUCUAUCAGCAGGGAAGAAAAUGACGGUACCUGAGUAAGAAGCCCCGGCUAACUACGUGCCAGCAGCCGCGGUAAUACGUAGGGGGCAAGCGUUAUCCGGAUUUACUGGGUGGAAAGGGAGCGUAGACGGCAGUGCAAGUCUGGAGGGAAAGGCGGGGGCUCAACCCCCGGACUGCUCUGGAAACUGUACGGCUGGAGUGCAGGAGAGGUAAGUGGAAUUCCUAGUGUAGCGGUGAAAUGCGUAGAUAUUAGGAGGAACACCAGUGGCGAAGGCGGCUUACUGGACUGUAACUGACGUUGAGGCUCGAAAGCGUGGGGAGCAAACAGGAUUAGAUACCCCUGUAGUC